UCCACUAGAAAUAUUUUGGACUCACUUAAGUGAGUCAAGGUUACUGAACUAUCUCUAAUUUUAACUUUCAGUGAUAGGCAUUAUUUUUAAAAAAUGUUUUAUAUUUUAAUCAGAAAAGUGGACCAGAAUACAAGGAAUACAAGAAUACAAGAACCAGAACACAAAAGGAAUACAAAUACUUUAAUAAAGAAAAUACCUGACUACAUUCAAGGCAAUGCUUUACUAGACAGACUGAUGCAUAUUUUUUUUUCUAUUUUUUUUUUUCUUUUUUCCUCUCAGUUAAUGCUGAUACAAAUACUAUAUCAAAUCAUUCCCAAUUGUUCAAAUUAAAAAUUCACACAAUACAUGUUCCUAAAUGUUGUGAAUUAUCUCCGUCCUCUGUUUCCUCUUUCUGUUUCUCUUUUAUUGCCAAAAACCAACAGAAGAGCCCUGAAAUGCCUGCUAUAUAUCAAGAAUGAGAGAACUUGUAAUUCACAAACUGCAGUAAGUGUCAUUUAUCAUUAAUGUGAUGAAGAUUAAUGUAGUUUCCCACUAAAAAGAACCUUAUGAAGAUGACUCUGGCUUGCAGGAAAAAGGAAUAUUCAUUCAUCUUUAUUGAAUGUAAUAGUCUAAGGAUUCAGGAACAAGCAUUUGUUACAUUCUUU